UAUGAUGAUGAAUAAAGAGAAAAAUGAUUGUGUUUUCUUUUCUUCCAACCUUUGAUUCUAGCAGAAGUCAAACUUCCCCCUCCCCUUCUACAUUCUUGUUAUAUUUAUAAAUUUUUUAAUAUUGAUUGAUCGUAGAGAUUCAAUUUUAUUGUUGUCCUGCGUCAUGUUAGACACUGAUAAUCCAAAUUUUUAGAGACUUCCGUGCUUCCUAGAGAAAAAUCAUUACAGAAAUUUGACUAGCAUCGAAAGCCUUCAUCUGCUGUCUUUCUUGUUGUGACAUCCAAACAUUCAAAAAUAAAUGAUUUUCCUGGUAGUCCUGGUUUUCCCAGAUCCUGACCUCCCACUUGAGGUGCAAAAACAAGACAAACUAACGUUGGGGAUUUUUCCUAUCAAACACAAUUAGAAGCAACCAACAUUGACCAGCACUACUUUUGGUUAUGCCGCAGAGGUCUAAAGAAGUGCAGAAGUCGCAUCAAAUCUAUUUCAUCCUCCUCCAUCAUUUCAACAAUUCCUUGUGUUGGCUGUUGAGUGGAGGCACGCGGUUUAAGCAAUGAUUUAUAAACUAACAAACUGGCAAGACCCAAAUGCCUAGCAACCUUAAGGCCCAGCUGACCCUAGGGUAAGCCCAUCAAGGCAUUGGACUUGAGCAACCAUCAGCCCCCCAAAAAAAUAAAAAAUAAAAAAUAAAAAUAAUAAUUCACCUCCAUCACUCGCGUCAUUUUACAUUCAAUGUGAUUGUCAUAACUUAAACCUUGCACUAUGUGAUAUGGCAAAACCCUUGCUUCUCUUCACCACCUAUAACUUACAUCAAGACCCUUGCUUAAAUGCAGUUGGACCCUGGAACAUCAAAUGUCUAUAAUAUUUUGUUGUUGUAGAACUUGAACAGUAGAAGCACUCUCACUCAACUUUGUCUCACUCACUCACCAAGUGUAUCACUCUUAGAUUUCUUGUUGGCUUUCUUGUGUUUAAAA
rnacentral:lncRNA from 1 species